rnacentral:rRNA from 1 species
UACGUAGGGCGCAAGCGUUGUCCGGAAUUACUGGGCGUAAAGCGUGCGCAGGCGGUUUCUUAAGUCAGAUGUGAAAGCCCCGGGCUUAACCUGGGAACUGCGUUUGAAACUGGGAGACUUGAGUGUGGCAGAGGGGGGUGGAAUUCCACGUGUAGCAGUGAAAUGCGUAGAUAUGUGGAGGAACACCGAUGGCGAAGGCAGCCCCCUGGGUUAACACUGACGCUCAUGCACGAAAGCGUGGGGAGCAAACAGG